rnacentral:rRNA from 1 species
UGAGGAAUUUUCCGCAAUGGGCGAAAGCCUGACGGAGCGACACCGCGUGAAGGAUGAAGGAUUUGUUUUUGUAAACUUCUUUUCUGUGGGAAGAUAAUGACGGUACCACAGGAAUAAGGGACGGCUAACUACGUGCCAGCAGCCGCGGUAAUACGUAGGUCCCAAGCGUUAUCCGGAAUUACUGGGCGUAAAGCGUCUGUAGGCUGAAGUGUAAGUUGAAUACGAAAGACCGAAGCUCAACUUCGUGUUUGUAUUCAAGACUGCAUUUCUAGAAUGAGGGAGAGGUAAGUGGAAUUGUGAGAGUAGGGGUGCAAUCCGUAGAUACUCACAAGAACACCAAAAGUGAAGACAACUUACUGGAACUUUAUUGACGCUGAGAGACGAAAGCGUGGGGAGCAAAAAGG